rnacentral:rRNA from 1 species
CUCUUCCGGGGGCCUUCGUGGGGGGAGUCUCUAAAAAGAAUCAAAAAGGAAUUGGAAGGGAUUGGUCAUCGCAACAAUGUGCACACUCCAAUCUCAUCCAUCUUACACCUGUGCACCCUUGCGCGGCUCCGUCGGGUUCGCGGUCGUUCGGGCUUGAGUUUUUUCUAUAAUCUAUAAUGUAUGUAACAGAAUGUAUAAAUGCUAUAAACGCAUAUUAUACAACUUUCAACAUCGGAUAUCGUGGCUCUCGCAUCGAUGAAGAACGCAGAGAAAUGCGAAAAGUAAUAUGAAUUGCAAAAUUCAGAGAAUCAUGGAAUCUUUAAUCGCACCUUGCGCCCCUUGGCAUUCGGAGGGGCACGCGCCUUCGAGUGUCGAGAAAUUCUAAAUUCAAUCCUCAUGCUAUGAGAGGGGAGGGGUUGGGCUUGGAGGUCGGGGCGGUUGCGUUCCCUCGGGGGGGUCGUCUCCUCUUGAAGACAGGAGGGGAGCCCCCUUUGUAGGGGUUGCCCCUGGGGUGAUAAUUAUAUACGCCCCGGGGAGCCCUGCGCGUUGGUCUGCUUCUAACCGUCCUUCAGCACAUUCAUCUCAACUGACCUCGAAUCAGUCUGACGACGACCC